AUCAUUACUAGUGAAACCUACUGUUUUACUGAUGCUUCAUAGACACCACUAUCUCCAGCCACGGACUCAUCAGACACGGCAGCGGACACGCAAGCUGUUUUCUCCUCCAUUCCUUCACUCAAUGGUGAUGAAGACUGCCUAACACCUUCGCUGGUAUCUUUGUCCUCUGCAAGAGCCUGUGAUGCUACUCCUACAUCUGAGUCCGGCAGCAUCUGAUUUUCGGAAGUCCAAUUUAUACUGAUAAUCCAAGUCUGGAAUUUGGUCCCCUUGGCUGUUAUAAUAGAGCUCCGAGGAACUGAGGGAAUUGAGGGACCCUCUGCUAGAGGUGUUCAGAGACCCCCGACUGGAUGCCAAUGAUCCCAGACUGCUCCCUGAAGACAUGGACAAGGAACAACAGGGGAUGGAGAUUUUAUUUCAUUUUUGAAAAAAACAUGACUAUGAAGACAUAGGAUUUGAACGAAGGUUAUGUUGUGCCUGUCUUUUCUGUUCUCUUUGGGUAUAUAUAUGUAAAGACUGCAUCUUUAAACAAUUAGCAUGAGGAAAUAGGCUGUUAUUUUUUUUAAGGCAAUUGCUUUGAAGCAGGCAAAGUCUUUUUCUAAGUAGUAAAGAAUGUAUUGGUAAAGUAUAAAGUUUGCAAGCAUAAAAUAUUCUUUGUAUCCCUAAAAACUAUAGUCAAAUAUUCUUAUGAUUGACUACAGAAGAACUUCUUUACUCAAAUUCAUAAUGUAUUCACAACCACGUGAUUGUGUACUUUUUAUAAAAAUACACUUAUGUAACUUUAAAUCAUCCAUAUUUUAAUACAAACAUCUUUUUUCUUUUAAAGCACAGCAGAGUAUACCAUAACUAUAUAACAUUUUCAUCUUCGAAAAAGUAAAAAACAAAGUGGAAAAGAACAAAAGAUAAAUUCCAAUUUGCCUGAAAUGGAGCCUAACCCAUCCUCUGCCACCAAAUGAUAAAAUGCAUGUAGAGUUUUACGCAACUCACAUGUGAGAAAAUGAAAUGC